UGGCCCUACGCCCAACCCUCCUCCUUUCUCAUCUGGGCUUGGGACCGGCCAUGGCGGAGUUAUUCUAUGACUGCUCUUCAAAUUUUGUCAUCCUAUUCAAGUCAACUUUUGCAUUAUUAAAGAAUGAGAAAAGAACCAGUUGCUAAAAAGAGCGGAUUUGGAUAUCGCGUAAUGAAAGGGUUCGUUGUAGCUGAAACAGCAUUGAUGAUAGGCUGCUAUUACUUCUUCAAAAAGCUGAAUAACAAACAAGAAUUUCGCUAUGAGUGGUACAUGAAGCAUCCUUCUCUACUUGGAAUGUACUAUAUGAUUGACAAGCAGUUGGGACAGAGGAACACCUAUUAUACAGAUGUCCAAACUUGGCAACAGCAGGGUAAGCAACUGCGUGAAGAAGCGCUUCCCUACAAUAAGUGAGUCGUUAGUCGCGUCAUCCCAGACAUUGCAGAUUAUAGACAGCAUUCAGGCGAUGGAAUUGGUUUUAAAGGUUUCAUCACGGUGCCAAAGACACUUUAUUAAUUGUUGUGACAAUAGUUGCGUAUGAGUGCUAUGCGGAUAACAAAACAUAUUUAUUAAAUAAUUGUUUUUAUUUAUUUAUUUUAGCUCAUAUUGUGUGCGAUCUGAAAACGUGAUAUUAAAUAUGAUAUGGGAGAUUGUAUAUCACCUCAUCCAUGAUGCAGGUGUAAUGUUACAAUGACCAAUGUUAUUCAAAAGUCUAGUUAACACCGGCGUUAUUUUGGUGCUCUGUAAACUAACGAACACACGAAUUGCUCUGUAAGUUUUGAAAAACUGAAAAACCCUAGAGUAACAUCGCUUAGGUUCGUAUCUAGCUUUAAUGAUAUUAUCGGUGCAGUUUUUAAGAUGAGGCUCCGUGAAUUAUUAUAGCAAUUGCUGAUAUUUCUUUCAAUAAUCAUUUUAUAGGAAAAGAAAAUACGGCAAUAAAUUAAUUUCUCCUC